rnacentral:tRNA from 2 species
AAGGCCGGAAUAGCUCAGUCGGUAGAGCAGA